rnacentral:lncRNA from 1 species
UGCCAUUGAGUUAAUAUAAGAUGUGCGCCUCACUUUAUAUAUAGGAUGCAAUAACAUUAAUUUUUCUGAAUAACGAAUAAAAUCGUACAGAAUUUAUCUAAAUUAUAGACUAUUAUGAAACGACUGCCUGGUCUUUCAAGAUUUUAAUUUUAAUUUUACUAUCUAAUUUUUCAAUUUAUUUGAUUUGAAUCAGUUAAUGACAUUUUGACUUUAAAAUAUAAACAUGUCGUUAAUUACAUUUAUAUAUUUAGUUAAUAUAUUUUAUACAAUUCUAAUAAUUAUAAAUUUAUUAUAGUAAACUAUUGACUUAAAUUUUAAGUCAAAAUAUUAUUUACUGAUUCAAAUAAAUUAUAAGAUUGGAUUAAAAAAAUUAAAAAUUUUAAAAA